CAGUGCUAUUUGAAAAUCUGGGCUUCCGAAUAUUGACUGAGCUCUGGUUGAUUUCGAGUGAUAACCUAUGAUACCCUUAAAAAACAGAGAUAUUACUUUGCCAACAAAGGUUUGUGUAGUCAAAGCUACGGUUUUUCCAGUAGUCAUGUAUGGAUGUGAGAGUUGGACUUUGAAGAAAGCUGAGCACCGAAGAAUUGAUGCUUUUGAACAGUGGUGUUGGAGAAGACUCUUGGACUGCAAGAGUCCAAGAAGUCCCUUGGACUGCAAGGAGAUCCAACCAGUCCAUCCUAAAGGAAAUCAAUCCUGAAUAGUCAUUGGAAGGACUGAUGCUGAAGCUGAAACUCCAAUACUUUGGCCACCUGAUGCGAAGAACUGACUCAUUUGGAAAGACGCUGAUGCUGGGAAAGAUUGAAGGUGGAAGGAGAAGGCGAUGACAGAGGAUGAGAUUGUUGGAUGGCAUCACCGACUCAAUGGACUUGAGUUUGAGUAAACUCUGGAAGUUGGCGAUGGACAGGGAGGCCUGGUGUGCUGCAGUCCAUGGGGUUGUAAACAGUCAGACAUGACUGAGCGACUGAACUGAGUACAUUAUAAUAUUGUAAAGU